rnacentral:miRNA from 1 species
GACGUCGAUAUUCGACGUCAUAAACACGAUCAACUUUGGUGUUUAUGACGUCGAUAUUCGACGUCAUAAACACGAUAAACUUAGAUGUUUAUGACGUCGAUAUUCGACGUCAGAAACACGAUCAACUUUGCGGUGUUUAUGACGUCGAUAUUCGAAGUCAUAAACAGGAUCAAUUUUGGUGUUUAUGACGUCGAUAUUCGACGUCAUAAACACGAUCAACUUUGGUGUUUAUGACGUCGAUAUUCGACGUC